rnacentral:rRNA from 1 species
AACGCGAAGAACCUUACCAACUUUUGACAUGUCCCGUAUGGAUUUCAGAGAUGAGAUCCUUCAGUUCGGCUGGCGGGAACACAGGUGCUGCAUGGCUGUCGUCAGCUCGUGUCGUGAGAUGUUGGGUUAAGUCCCGCAACGAGCGCAACCCUCGCCCUUAGUUGCCAUCAUUUAGUUGGGCACUCUAAGGGGCUGCCGGUGAUAAGCCGGAGGAAGGUGGGGAUGACGUCAAGUCCUCAUGGCCCUUACAGGUUGGGCUACACACGUGCUACAAUGGCCGGUACAAACCGUCGCAAACCCGUGAGGGGGAGCUAAUCGGAAAAAGCCGGCCUCAGUUCGGAUCGCAGUCUGCAACUCGACUGCGUGAAGCUGGAAUCGCUAGUAAUCGCGGAUCAGAAUGCCGCGGUGAAUACGUUCCCGGGCCUUGUACACACCGACUGUAC